AGAGUUUGAUCCUGGCUCAGGACGAACGCUGGCGGCGUGCUUAACACAUGCAAGUCGAGCGGAAAGGCCCUUCGGGGUACUCGAGCGGCGAACGGGUGAGUAACACGUGAGCAACCUGCCCCUGGCUCUGGGAUAGCUCCGGGAAACCGGGAUUAAUACCGGACAUGACCCUGCGCGGCAUCGCAAUGGGUGGAAAGUUU
rnacentral:rRNA from 1 species